GUGCUCACUUCAGUAGCACAUAUAUGACAGUUGGAACAAUACAGAUAUCAGCUCAGCAAGGAUGACAUGAAAAUUCAUAAAGUUUUCCAUAUUUAA
rnacentral:snRNA from 1 species